rnacentral:rRNA from 1 species
GAUGAACGCUAGCGGGAGGCUUAAUACAUGCAAGUCGAGGGGCAGCAUGGGACUUCGGUCCUGAUGGCGACCGGCGCACGGGUGAGUAACGCGUACACAACCUACCUUCAAGAGGGGGAUAGCCUUGGGAAACUGAGAUUAAUACCCCAUGUGAUUAACUUUUUGAUGAUUGGUUAAUUAAAGCUGAGGCGCUUGAAGAUGGGUGUGCGUCUGAUUAGCUAGUUGGUAGGGUAACGGCCUACCAAGGCGACGAUCAGUAGGGAGCGUGAGAGCGUGACCCCCCACACGGGUACUGAGACACGGACCCGACUCCUACGGGAGGCAGCAGUAAGGAAUAUUGGACAAUGGGCGAAAGCCUGAUCCAGCUAUCCCGCGUGCAGGAUGACGGCCCUAUGGGUUGUAAACUGCUUUUAGUAGGGACGAAACCCCUCGAUUUAUCGGGGGCUGACGGUACCUACAGAAUAAGCACCGGCUAACUCCGUGCCAGCCGCCGCCGUAACAC